UGCUUAGAUGUUCAGUUCAAUUACUCAAGGAUCUACUAUCAAACCAUUGCUUUUUCUUUUGUGUUUGCUGCAACAACGUUACUAUAUGGUAUUAACCUAGAAUCCAGAAGCAGCUGCCGUCAAUUUGAACCUGAGAAUUCCAAAACGAAAGGCCUGUAUAUAUUCAACCCCUUAAAGAUCUAAAAUGACAAUGAGAUCGUAUCAGUCUUAAUCCUGUGCAAAGUUAUGGUGUGCAGUCUUCCUCCAUGAAAGCAGCACAUGUUGUGGAUCAUAAUAUUCACGAUAAAGAUUGCAUAUCUUAAUUUGAUCGAACUCCGUACUCCAGAAUUUGAAAAUCAACCACGAAGGGUCUGCCCCUUUGAAGAAGCAACCAGCACUCAGUGGCAAGG
rnacentral:lncRNA from 1 species